rnacentral:rRNA from 1 species
CACGUAGGGUGCGAGCGUUGUCCGGAAUUAUUGGGCGUAAAGAGCUCGUAGGUGGCUCGUUGCGUCGGCUGUGAAACCCGCAGCUCAACUGUGGGCUUGCAGCCGAUACGGGCGGGCUUGAGUUCGGUAGGGGAGACGUGGUAAUUCCUGGUGUAGCGGUGAAAUGCGCAGAUAUCAGGAGGAACACCGGUGGCGAAGGCGGGUCUCUGGGCCGAAACUGACGCUGAGACGCGAAAGCGUGGGGAGCAAACAGG